rnacentral:rRNA from 1 species
UGAGGAAUAUUGGGCAAUGCCCGCAAGGGUGACCCAGCAACGCCGCGUGGAGGAUGAAUGUCGUAAGAUUGUAAACUCCUGUUAGAGGGGAAGAAUAGUACCGGUUGGACCGGUAUAUGACUGUACCCUCAGAGAAAGCCCCGGCUAACUACGUGCCAGCAGCCGCGGUAAUACGUAGGGGGCAAGAGUUGUCCGGAUUUACUGGGUGUAAAGGGCGCGCAGGCGGGAUAAAAAGUCAGUGGUGAAAUCCUACAGCUUAACUGUAGAACUGCCUUUGAUACUUUUAUUCUUGAGUUCGGGAGAGAGAGACGGAAUUCCAGGUGUAGUGGUGAAAUACGUAGAUAUCUGGAAGAACACCAGUUGCGAAGGCGGUCUCUUGGUCCGACACUGACGCUGAGGCGCGAAAGCGUGG